AUACCAAUUAAACCAUUGCAAAUUACAAAGAAGACGAUGCUCAUACAGCCGAGGGUAUUUUAGCAUUGCGUUAUAUUUGAAACCUCUGCUACCA